GGCGGCGUCAGAGCCCGAGACACCAGAAACAAAGCCGGAGUCGAAGCCACCAGAUAGAGGCUCACAAGGCUUCGCGAACGACGAUUGGGAGACGGUGUGCUUCGUUCCCGGGGUGUCGAAGACGAAGGUGACAGUGUCGCUAACAUUCGCGGUGAUGGUGCUGGGGCUGAAGAAGAGGCCGUUGCCCGUGCCGUUGUUACCGACGUGGACGAGGUGGUCGGCAGCAAGGGCUGUGGAGGCGAGGGCAAGAGCAGAGGCGGCGGUGGAGAAACGCAUUAUGAGUCGGAGCGUCAACGCAAG
rnacentral:misc_RNA from 1 species